rnacentral:rRNA from 1 species
UACAGAGGUCUCAAGCGUUGUUCGGAUUCAUUGGGCGUAAAGGGUGUGUAGGUGGCGCCGUUAGUCGGGUGUGAAAUUUCGGAGCUUAACUCCGAAACUGCAUUCAAUACUGCGGUGCUUUGAGGACUGGAGAGGAGACUGGAAUUCAUGGUGUAGCAGUGAAAUGCGUAGAUAUUGGGAGGAACACCAGUGGCGGAGGCGGCUCACUGGCCCGGUACUGACGCUGAGGCACGAAAGCGUGGGGAGCAAACAGGG